CGCAAUCUGGGAACAGACUAAGUGUUCCCACCUCCCAGGAGGUAUGCCCCAGUCUUCAAAGUUGGACGCCUUCUUGCCACUUUGGGCGCAGGGGUUGCAGGUGUGUGCAACAGCUUCCACUUUCCGGUCAACCGGAACCUUUCCCCAGAGCGGCUGCUGCUGUGUGGGUCGCGCCUCGGCGGAGUUCCUGGGGGCGGCGCCCGACCGGAGUGGCGGCCACGUUAUCCAAUAGAAAGGGAUAUUAUUGACUUAGAAGCCAAUGAGAAGCCUGGUGAGGAAGAAGCGGUGAUCUGAGCAUGGAAGGACCGAUUUGAGGCAGCAUGGGUCUCUGUCUGAGGUGGCGCCGGCUUGGGUUCCCACUCCCAGGGUUCCGCCGCUGCGAGCUCCACACAGUGCAUGAGGCCUCUGUACCAACUCCUCCACAUUGGUUGGCAGAACGAUUUGGCCUUUUUGAGGAGCUAUGGACCGCUCAGGUGAAAAAGUUAGCAAGUAUGACACAGAAGAAAGCCCGGACUAUUAAGAUAUCACUUCCCGAAGGCCAGAAGGUAGAUGCUGUUGCGUGGAACACAACCCCUUACCAACUGGCCCAGCAGAUCAGUUUGACUCUGGCUGAUACUGCAGUUGCUGCUGAAGUGAAUGGAGACCUUUACGAUCUGGACCGACCCUUGGAGACAGAUUGUCACCUCAGAUUUCUGACAUUUGAUUCCCCAGAGGGCAAAGCGGUGUUCUGGCACUCUAGUGCCCAUGUUCUAGGUGCAGCAGCUGAGCAACAACUGGGUGCUGUUCUCUGCCGAGGUCCAAGUACAGAAUCUGGCUUCUACCAUGAUUUCUUCCUGGGAAAAGAACGGACAGUCCGGAGCGCAGAGUUGCCCAUUUUAGAGCGGAUUUGCCAGGAGAUCAUAGCUGCUGCACAACCUUUCCGAAGGCUAGAGGCUUCCCGGGAUCAGCUUCGACAGCUCUUCAAGGAUAACCACUUUAAGCUUCAUCUGAUCGAGGAGAAGGUGACAGGGCCAACGGCAACAGUGUAUGGGUGUGGCAUGUUGGUUGACCUGUGCCGGGGCCCCCAUGUUCGGCACACUGGACAGAUUGGAGCACUAAAGCUGCUCACGAACUCCUCGGCCUUGUGGAGGUCCUCGGGAGCACCUGAGACACUGCAGAGGGUAUCAGGAAUUUCUUUCCCCAAAGCAGAGUUACUGAGGAAUUGGGAAGCUCGAAGGGAGGAAGCAGAGUUAAGAGACCACAGACACAUUGGGAAGGAACAGGAGCUCUUCUUCUUCCAUGCACUGAGCCCUGGGAGCUGCUUUUUCUUGCCACGAGGGACGAGAGUCUACAAUGCCCUGGUGGCUUUCAUCAGGGCUGAGUAUGCCCGCCGUGGUUUCUCAGAGGUGAAAACUCCCACGCUGUUUUCUACAAAACUCUGGGAGCAGUCAGGGCACUGGGAGCACUAUAGGGCAGACAUGUUUGCCCUGACGCCCCCAGGCGCCAAUGGUGUCGACAGCUCCCAGAGUGGCCAUCCUGCCAGGUGUCCCAAAGACACACUUGCUCUAAAGCCCAUGAACUGCCCUGCACAUUGCCUGAUGUUUGCCCACCGGCCCAGAUCCUGGCGGGAACUGCCCAUACGACUGGCUGAUUUCGGAGUCCUGCAUCGGGCUGAGGCCUCUGGCAGUCUGGGAGGAUUAACGAGGCUGUGGCGCUUCCAGCAGGAUGAUGCUCACAUCUUUUGUGCACCCAAUCAGCUGGAAGCAGAGAUCCGGGGCUGCCUUGAUUUUCUCCGGUCUGUUUACUCGGUUCUUGGUUUUUCCUUCCACCUGGCUUUAUCUACCCGACCAUCUGGCUUCCUAGGGGAGCCUCGCCUAUGGGACCAGGCUGAGCAGGUCCUACAACAAGCCUUGGAGGAGUUUGGAGAACCCUGGGACCUCAACCCUGGAGAUGGGGCUUUCUAUGGGCCUAAGAUUGAUGUGCACCUCCAUGACGCCCUUGGCCGGCCCCAUCAAUGUGGAACAAUCCAGCUUGACUUCCAGCUGCCCCUGAGAUUUGACCUCCAGUACAAGGGGCCGGCGGGCGCCCCAGAGUGUCCAGUCCUUAUUCAUCGAGCAGUGCUUGGUUCUGUGGAAAGACUGCUGGGAGUGCUGGCGGAAAGCUGUGGGGGGAAAUGGCCCCUGUGGCUCUCCCCACUCCAGGUAGUGGUCAUCCCUGUGAGGACAGAGCAAGAGGAAUAUGCCAGGCAGGUGCAACAGUGCCUGCAGGCUGCAGGACUUGUGAGUGAUCUCGAUGCAGACUCUGGACUGACCCUCAGCCGGAGAGUCCGCCGGGCCCAGCUUGCCCACUACAACUUUCAGUUUGUGGUUGGCCAGAGAGAGCAGAGUCAAAGGACAGUGAAUGUACGCACUCGAGAUAACCGGCAGCUGGGGGAGCGAGGCCUGGCCGAGUCUGUGCAGAGACUGUUGGAGUUACAGAACGCCAGGGUCCCCAAUGCAGAAGAAGUGUUCUGAGUGAUGUUCACAGUGACGUACAGACUCAUGAGAGCCAUCCAUCCCUUUCCACAGGACACUAACCCAGCUGGUAGCCCAGCAUGUCCCCGAGUCCUCAGAACUGCACUCUGAAAAUAGACAUGACCUGAGGCAAAGGGAUACAGAAGCCUCUGACCAGCAAGGGAGUUGCCUCAGGCAGCCAUUCCCCACCCUGACCCCCCAGCACACACCCCCAGUAAAAUUCUUAAUGCUUUUUCCCCACUCCCA